UUCAAAGAAAAGUAUGAAGAGAAAAACUCUGCUCUCGUGUGUAGAUCGGGCAUAACUCAAGAGCUAAAACCAGAAUAGGGCCUGGAAAUUUUAUCUUUUGGCUCAGAAAACAGGAGUGAACAAAAGGCCUGAUUCAUCACUGAGGAAAGCCAAGUCAGCACCAAAGGUUCAUAUUAAUUUGCUAAUUUGAUUUAGGACUUGACCGGUGAGGCAAGGUGACUGCAUUGAAAGCACUGACUUCAGACAACUUGAGCUAUUCUUAAAAUGAUAUAAAAUAUUAUUGAAGACAGGCAUUGCUCUAGGUGGCAGCUUUGGAAAGUAUUAUUACUGCUGUCACUGAGCGACAGACUGUGAUGCAAGUCUGAUGGGUGCUGAAAAUUAGAGCAAGUUUUGUCCCAGAUACUUUUCCAUGUGCAAAGGAACCAUAUAAUAUGCAGGGAUUCGUUCACAAUUACGGUACUUGUAGAAGAUCUUUAUUCUGUGUCCAGAUGUCCAAGCCUAGCAACAUGCAGACCUUACAAAGUGUCUAGUCUUGGAAAGCUCAACCAUUGAAGAAAAGCACAUUUCCAAAUGUCCCACCGUGAAUGACAGCUUGGCCCCAAAACCUGGUCGUUCAUCUUGAGUGAUGAAGUGGAUGGAACGAUUUGCAGAGGCCCAAGACAUUACAGGAGAUGGUUAGAAGAUUCUACCUACCCCAGAGCAGUCAGAUGAGCUGAAGUCCUCACUACUGCUAACCACAUUCUGGAUGCUCUCAAUUUGGAAAACAGGAGCUGUACAAACAUAGUGGAAGAAGCCAUCCCUUCCCUGAAGGUGUCCUCUGAUGAUCUAAAACCAGAAGGAGCCGAUGGAGAUGUACUAAAACAGGUCUUGCAGGUCAGUGAUGUUGUAAGUGGAUUUUGGCUGGUGGGGCUGAUUGGAAACGUCAUUGAUAAU
rnacentral:lncRNA from 1 species